GCCCAAUACCUAGCCCACAAUACUCGCAUGAUAACACCCCCCCCCCCCCCCCCCCCCCCCCAUUCUAAAACAUUUUAUUUCUUUAGUACAGGCGAUCGAAAAACUUCUAGGCGCUUCAGAUUAAGUACCGCAAGGGAAAGGUGAAAUAGUAAUGAAAUAACUUUAAAGCCCAAAACAGUAGAGAUACUCCCUCGUACCUUUUGCAUCAUGGUCUAGCUAGUUUAACCAAGCAAAAUGUGAACUUUAGUUUGACACCCCGAAACUAAGUGAGCUACUUCAAAACAGCCUUAAAGGGCCAACCCGUCUCUGUUGCAAAAGAGUGGGAAGAUUUUCAAGUAGAGGUGAUAAGCCUACCGGACUUAGAGAUAGCUGGUUACUCAGGAAAAGAGUUUUAGCUCUGCCUUAAGCUUUCAUAUUAUUUUUUAACAAACUUUUAAACUUAAGGGUUAUUCAAGUAAGGUUCAGCUUACUUGAAACAGGACACAACCUUCAACAUCGGGUAAAUAAGGACGACCCAAACUAAGUGGGCCUAAAAGCAGCCACCUUACAAAAAGCGUUAAAGCUUAAUUUAUAAUUAACCCGUAAUUCCUAAAAUCACUAUUAACCCCUCACCUCUACUGAGUUAUUUUAUAACAUUAUAAAAGCUAUUAUGCUAGAACUAGUAACAAGAAACCGUUUUUCUCUUGAAUGUAAGCCAGAACCGUAAUAAACCCUAUCGGUAUUUAACGUAAAUGAUCAAAAUAUAGUAACUCAACUAGAAAACCCUAUUACUUUUAACGUCAAUCUUACACUAGAACAUUACAAGAAAGAUUAAAGAAAAAGAAGA
rnacentral:rRNA from 1 species